UACGUAGGGUGCAAGCGUUGUCCGGAAUUAUUGGGCGUAAAGAGCUCGUAGGCGGUCUGUCGCGUCGGCUGUGAAAUCCCGGAGCUCAACUCCGGGCCUGCAGUCGAUACGGGCAGACUGGAGUUCGGCAGGGGAGACUGGAAUUCCUGGUGUAGCGGUGAAAUGCGCAGAUAUCAGGAGGAACACCGGUGGCGAAGGCGGGUCUCUGGGCAACAACUGACGCUGAGGAGCGAAAGCCAGGGGAGCGAACGGG
rnacentral:rRNA from 1 species